rnacentral:rRNA from 10 species
UUCGUAUUGUUGUGAGAGAGGUGAAAUUCUUAGACCACAGCAAGACGAACUACUGCGAAAGCAUUUGCCAAGAAUGUUUUCAUUGAUCAAGAACGAAAGUUAGAGGUUCGAAGGCGAUCAGAUACCGCCCUAGUUCUAACCAUAAACUAUGCCAACUAGCAAUUUGCUUACGUUCUCUAAAUGACUAAGUGAGAGGCCACGGGAAACCAAAGUAGGGUUAUGGGGGAAGUAUGGUUGCAAAGCUGAAACUUAAAGGAAUUGACGGAAGGGCACCACCAGGAGUGGAGCCUGCGGCUUAAUUUGACUCAACACGGGAAAACUUACCUGGUCCUGACACUAGAAGGAUUGACAGAUUGAUAGCUCUUUCUUGAUUUGGUGGAUGGUGGUGCAUGGCCGUUCUUAGUUGGUGGAGUGAUUUGUCUGGUUAAUUCCGAUAACGAACGAGACUCUAGCCUAUUAAAUAACACACAGAAUCUUGUCUUCUGUGGCGUUUCUUAAUGGGAUCAAGUGUGUUUAACGCUU